rnacentral:rRNA from 1 species
UACAGGGGGGGCAAGCGUUGUUCGGAAUUACUGGGCGUAAAGGGCUCGUAGGUGGCCAACUAAGUCAGACGUGAAAUCCCUCGGCUUAACCGGGGAACUGCGUCUGAUACUGGAUGGCUAGAGUUUGGGAGAGGGAUGCGGAAUUCCAGGUGUAGCGGUGAAAUGCGUAGAUAUCUGGAGGAACACCGGUGGCGAAGGCGGCAUCCUGGACCAACACUGACGCUGAGGAGCGAAAGCCAGGGGAGCAAACGGG